rnacentral:misc_RNA from 1 species
UACGGAGGGUGCGAGCGUUAAUCGGAAUUACUGGGCGUAAAGCGCGCGCAGGCGGUCUCUUAAGUCUGAUGUGAAAGCCCACGGCUCAACCGUGGAGGGUCAUUGGAAACUGGGGAACUUGAGAACUGAAGAGGAGAGUGGAAUUCCACGUGUAGCGGUGAAAUGCGUAGAUAUGUGGAGGAACACCAGUGGCGAAGGCGACUCUCUGGUCGGUAAUUGACGCUGAGGCUCGAAAGCGUGGGGAGCAAACAGG